rnacentral:tRNA from 1 species
CUCCCAGUAGUCCAGAGGCAGGAGACAAGGGACUUAAAAUCCCUACAGGAUGGGUUCGAAUCCCAUCUGGGAGA